GACGAACGCUGGCGGCGUGCCUAAUACAUGCAAGUCGAACGCUUCUUUCCUCCCGAGUGCUUGCACUCAAUUGGAAAGAGGAGUGGCGGACGGGUGAGUAACACGUGGGUAACCUACCCAUCAGAGGGGGAUAACACUUGGAAACAGGUGCUAAUACCGCAUAACAGUUUAUGCCGCAUGGCAUAAGAGUGCAAGGCGCUUUCGGGUGUCGCUGAUGGAUGGACCCGCGGUGCAUUAGCUAGUUGGUGAGGUAACGGCUCACCAAGGCCACGAUGCAUAGCCGACCUAGGAGGGUGAUCGGCCACAAUGGGAAUGAGAAAAGGACCAGACUCCUACGGGAGGCAGCAGUAGGGAAUCUUCGGCAAUGGACGAAAGUCUGACAGAGCAACGCCGCGGGAGUGAAGAAGGGUUUCGGAUAGUAAAAAUCUGUUGUUAGAGAAGAACAAGGACGGUAGUAACUGAACGUCGCCUGACGGUAUCUAACCAGAAAGCCACGGCUAACUAAGUG
rnacentral:rRNA from 1 species